rnacentral:rRNA from 1 species
CACCUUUUGACAUGCCCGGACCGCCAGAGAGAUCUGGUUUUCCCUUCGGGGACUGGGACACAGGUGCUGCAUGGCUGUCGUCAGCUCGUGUCGUGAGAUGUUGGGUUAAGUCCCGCAACGAGCGCAACCCUCGCCAUUAGUUGCCAUCAUUAAGUUGGGCACUCUAAUGGGACCGCCGGUGGUAAGCCGGAGGAAGGUGGGGAUGACGUCAAGUCCUCAUGGCCCUUACAAGGUGGGCUACACACGUGCUACAAUGGCGACUACAGAGGGUUGCAAACCUGCGAAGGGGAGCUAAUCCCUAAAAGUCGUCUCAGUUCGGAUUGCACUCUGCAACUCGAGUGCAUGAAGUCGGAAUCGCUAGUAAUCGCGGAUCAGCAUGCCGCGGUGAAUACGUUCCC